AUACUGCAAAAGCCCAAGUCUGUUAGUAUGUAUGUUUUCUCGUGCUGUUUGAGGAAACAAUAGAGACAGUGGACGAUUUACUUUUAAAAACACACUAAACAAAGUUUGUAAGUAUCCCUGAUGUCUUUUUUCUUUUUAUAAGAUCAUACUGAGCUUCCUGGUUUAAUGCAAUCAGAAAACAUGGAUUUAUAUUUCAAGAACCUCUCUGAAUAUAUUACCAUAAUUCCUCUCUUUUUCCUGACUGGGGAUUGAAAUCAGCUACUAUUUGCAGUGUGUCAGAAACUUAAUGCUUUUGUGGGGUCCCAGUCUUUUGAAAUUCUGUUUAGAAUUUUUCUAUGCUUUUGGUAUAGUUGAAUUGCAGUGUACAUACUAUUUUCUUUAUCUAUUAUCCAGCUUUUUGUCUGUGGUAUGGAGACAUUAAGUGUAGAGGAAAAGUAUACCUUCAUGUGAUGACUCAGAAGAUCCCAGCUGGACUGUGUUAUAUAAGUUGAGUAGCACCUGAGACUAAUUGCCAGAAAAACAGGUGAUAGAACAGUGGUUUCCUUAGAAGUAACUGCUAGCCUGAGGCUCUUGUGAAGAUAUUUUUGGAGCAGCUCAGAGAAAUUUUCUUACUGAUUUGCUCUAUUCUGGAUAGAUGGAAUCAGAAAGUCAACAAAGGCGUAGGACAGAAGGAAAGCUUUUUUUUAUGCUGGCCUCUCAACAGAACAGAUAGAUGAGAGCUCCCUAACCUCUUCUCAGGGAGAACCUGUACUGUUCACCCUCCAACCAGGUGAGUCCUUCUGGGCUAUUUGGUGUUUUUUCCCCUCAUAGUUUCCUGGGUCUAGUCUCCUGAACAACCAAGUUAAACAUGGAAGAGUCUACUUCAAGGUCAAAAGCUGAAAGGGACCCUGUUAUGAGAAGAUGAGUCAAAUACUUCUGCGAAGGUACCAUGUUUUGGCAUUUUAGUGCUAGAGCGAAAAUAAUUAUUUCCAGGUGAGGAUAGCUUUUUAACUAUAUAAAGGCCUUUGGUGAAUCUUUAAAAGACUUGAUGGAAGCUAACAGGUAGUUAUUAUUUGUAAGAGGGGAUGGAGAAAAAUAAUUCAUGUAUUAACAUAUCUUGCAUCAAAGAAUCACAGGCAUGAUCUUUUAAUCUUGAAUAGCUGGUAUUGCCAUUGAGUUUUAUAGCAGAAAUGCUAAGUCACGGCCUGAACCAGUGAUUGAGCACCUGGUGGGAAGGCAGGGCCAACCCAGGGCAGCUCAGCUGCAUGCAUUGCAUCUGAAUGACCAGAAGGGGUGAAGCCAGGAUCCACCCCUUCCCAGAUCUCAUUUAAGGGUUGGCAGUGGAGCUGCUGCAUUUGGGCUUGUUCUCACUUGCUUCAGCCUAGGAUUCUGCCACUUCGUUAUUAUUACUACCCAUCACAUUAUAGCGUUACAUCAUUACAAGCUUAAAUAAAACUAUUCUCUUGCUAAAUAACUUAUUUUAUUAGUACAGAUGUUUUCACAACUGCGGUUUUUUCUAGUCUCCUGUGUGAAUAUAAUCACUUUAAGACAAUAAAUCAGUGUAGAGGUGUCUGAAAAUGUCACGGCCCUUUCUUGAUGUGCUUCUCUCCUUGAUUUUUUUUUUCCCGUUAUCUUGCUAUGCUUUAAGCCUUUAAUCAGCACAUUGGAAGCUAGCUGUGUUUUGAUUAUCUGUUUUAUUAAUUGCUCCUGGUUCAUUCUGUUCAGUACAUUGUAGCCUCUUAUUCUGCUUUUGAGAUUCGUAACUGUGACCUGGCAAUCGCCUCUUCUGGAUUUGUGCCUAAAUAUACGACGUAACUCACCAGUCAUGGUAGUGCAGUAUGUUCUUUACACACAUCAUCUCACAGUUCAUUUUCUUCAAAUAUAUUUAUAACUCUGUGACUUAAAUAGUUAAACCAGGACACCCUCUGGUCAUGUUGUCCCUUUUUGGUAAACUGCCUUUUCAUUACUCUUCAAGCCUUUCUUCCCAACUCCUAUGUUUUUCAUGACUUGUCUUAUUUUUCUUGACAAGUUCUCGUGAAUAGCUUUUUGUCAGAUUAUUUUUUCAUACCUGCUGGAUGAUCUAUGUUUCAGUUCAACAAAAACCCCUCUUAAGUAUGCUUGCCAAAGGCCAACGAAGAACUAUUGACUGCUGUAGGAACUAGAAGCUACCCAUAAAGAUAUGAAUGCUUUGGAGGCUUUUUCAGCCCCCACCAUCUCAAAUGAUAAGUCUUUUGUAGAGAGAAGGUGAGUGGUAUUGGAUGUCUAUUUUACUUGGGAUUACUGUUUUCAAGACUUUACAGUUAGACCAUUUAUUUGGCUUCUUUUUAUGCCUGCAUGUUGCAUGAUUUGCAAUGGACUGAAAUUGUUGGCCAGGUUUUGCAUUCAGUGUUCUCUGACCGUUGUCAUCAGCUUCACAAGAUAAACACUACACUUGUUCUUGCCAUCUCUCUCCAAAUGGGCUCCAGAAUAAACAAGUUGUGUCGUUUGUAGAAUGAAGCUGUUGUAUUGCCCGCUAGCCUGGGUGACUGCUCCUCGGAGGGGAAACCUUUCAGACCUCUGGGACAAACAGAACUGUACCUGUAACUCAGACAGCAGAUGUGUGCAAGCUGGCUGGAGUGGCUCUGUUGCCAGAGUCUGCAGGGCUCUUGAGAUGCUAUGCUUGUUACUGAGGUGCCACAGGCCUAUGCUGGUGUGCUGAGGCAGUCUGCCACUAACAUGUCCCUCUGCGUUAACAUGCUGUGAGCUUCUGAGGAAGAGAGCUCUGAUUUCCCUCUCUUGUUCAUUUGAGGUAGCUGACAAGAUGGCUUCUAUUUAUCCCAGCUGUAGGAGGUGAUGAUCUCUUCAGCUGCAACAGCUCGGUUUGAUUGAGGUGUAUGACAGAAUGGUAAUCAAGAAGCAGUUUUAGUGGAGAGACAGACUCCUGAUUGAUUAAAAGCCUAUUGUAAAUACAGGUGUAGUAUUUACUCUCAAAUACAGUGAGACUAUAAUGUUGGCAUACCGUUGGUUUGCAGUAGGGGUGCAAAGAUGACCAAUUUUACUGCUGUGAAUGAAAAAGAAGGGUAUAGUUUUUACUUGGGUCUGAUUAAACACAUUAUAGUUAUGAAUGGUAUGUGGAUCCUCAUUGUAUGCUUAUUUGUCACAUGCAUGCAAAGUCAUCAAAAGUCAUGAAAGUGAUGUCAAACCCAACUUUAUAAACAGAAGUUGAUUUCAGUCAUCUCACAGGAGUGUAGCAAUUGUUAUUCUAGCAAGCGUAGAUUCCUCAUUUUUUCUCUUCGGGAUUGGUUUGUUCAUUCUGUCAUGAAGGGGUGAGUUUAAAAAUCUGCAUCCUCUCUUCAUAAUCCUGUCAGCUCCUUUGAGACUUCAAAUCUGUGAAACUUAGAGGAGGCAGCUGUUAGGUAAAUUUUGAAAGAGAAGCUAUAAUCUUCAUGUGCUUCAGAUUGUGGAGAGGUCUUAGGGUCUCUUGUAGCAGUAAAAAAAAUCCUGUCACAUUCAACUCUGUUGCACUUUAUAUAAGUGAGCUAUGAUUGUAUUGCAGCGGGCACUUGGCAAGCAGGCUUUCCUUGCUCAAAGAAUUCAGUUUAAGUGGACAUGCUACUUGUUUAGGCUUGGUGAAAAACACAGCUGACCUUUUUAAAGAUAUUCUAAUUUUUAUAUCAGGACUGCUUUCUUUAUGCAAUAUCCCUCUAACGUAUUGAUGCAUUCCUUCAUGUGAAGAAAUACUGUCCCUCAAUGCUACUUUCCCUACCUUUAUGUAAUAACUUUGGAAUUAGUUUUUUUUAUUUCUUCAGUUUACUGAGCCUAACUUGUUACAAGAAGGAGAAUGAGUCUCGGUGUGUGCAACGCUGCAAUAAGAUGGUUUUCCCAGAACACUUGAUUCUUGGCAGGAGGGAGAGUGUUCUGUCUCACCUCUGAGCCUUUCACUUCUGCCUUUUCUUGAUCAUUCUGGGAUUGGUAAUCCCGAGCAUUUUCAGAUACAUGUGGAGUCUGAAAGAUGGCUACUAUCCCAUCAGAUGUUUCUUCAAAUCUGCGGACCAGCCUUCCCAAGUCAAAAUCACCAUAUAACUGGCAACAGCACUAUUAAAAAAUGGAUCCAAGCUUGGCUUCAUUUUGAGCAUGACUCAAGCAAUGGUUUGACUACAAACAAACCUCUCAAAUGCAGCUUUAUGCUUGUGUCUGCUGGAUUUUGUCCAUGCCGUUUUCUGAAGCAAUACAGAAGGAAGCACCUCAGUCUGGUGCCUUGAAGAAUUAGGUUUUCAGGAGGUGGAUUUGUACAUUGUGCCAGGAGAGGAGUUCUGUCAAAAUUCUUUCAUGGCGUAUGUUUUAAUCUGUAUAUGGGGUUUCUUUGUACUCCUGCUGAUAAUGGUUAAUUUUGUUGCCAAAUUCAAAUAUAUUCUCUGUGGUGUGGCCAGUCUGUUUUAUGGCCCACUGUAUUCCUCUUGGUUUUUCAGCAAUUGUGUAAUUGUGGUAAAUGAUUUCCACAAGGAGAAAAUUUGCACAGUUAUAUAGCAUUAAAGUUCAGUUUAAAUUGGGUGACGUUGCAUAUAUGGAAAGCAGCUAUUUGCAUUCUUAUAAUCAAUAUACUAAACUCUAAACAUUCUAGAAAUUAAUAGUCUUCAAAACAUUUCCUAGAAAAGUACUUGAAUGUUGCUCUUGAUGUUGAUAAGGCUCAUGUGGCAUCAUAAACAAUUACCAUGAGCUUGGAGCCUCCUGCUUGAGGAACCUGAUUCUGCAGAGCAAUCUUUUAGUGAGGGGCACCAUGUUUUUUGGCUUGUGGGAUCCAUUAGUGUUACAUAAGCCCUAGAGUAAUCUGUAUUGUGAGCAAUCAACAGAAACAGAAAAGGUGUGUAUAUUAUAGAAAGGAGAGUGUUCAUUGAAGCUCAUAAUGUUUGUUUGUUUUUUAUGGUCUGGGCUGCUAGGAUGAGAGUUAUACAAGGAGAAUGAUGUUCCUGAUAUUCUACUGGAGGUAGAUUUAGUGUGUAUAUGUGUCCUGCAGCUAUGCUGGAGGGAGGAUGUGGUGGUGGGAGUGAGUGAUGAAGGACAGGCAGAGGGGGAGCAACUGGCCAAGGAGCUAGAGACAAAUGUGUUUGCAAACAAUUUUUUUUUUCUUCUGAUUGCUUGAGAAACUACAGGGAAUGCUCCUUUCUGUGCCAGCAGCUGUGAGUGGAUGGCAGUUUUACGACUGUUCAGUUGGAUGGAAUGGUCCCAAAUGUGUUGACUUGGGACCUGUAAUAUUGCAGCUGAACUUAGAAGGAGGCUUCUGUAUAUGGGAGCACUGUGUGGGACUCGGGACAGGGAAAAGAUGGCCUGAUCACCCUGUGUGUAGUUUCAUCAUGUGUGUAGUUUAUUUUGUGUUGUUUGAGUUGUCUGGCAUGGUUUUUCUUUCAGGAGUUAGGUGGAUGAAAGCAUAUGCAGAGUGUGUGGCCAUGCUUUUGUUCUGUAUGGCUUGGUCAUCCCUUUACUGAUUUUGCAUGGGAAACUGUGAUGGCCUCACAUCAGUGUGUACAAGGAGUCCAGUCAGAAUUUGUUAUUUUUACAGUUGUGCAUAGCCUGAAAAAUGUGACAUGCAUAUCACACAAACAGGAAACAACCCUUGUAGGAGACUGAAUGUAGCUGAAAACCUAAUCUAAAUAAGGCCGUUAGUCAUCUCCAUAUGGUAACCUUUCAGUGCCACACAAGUUUGGAAAACAUGCUCAAUGAAUGUGUGGAUACCAGCUGUUGCCUUACGCAUUUAAACCUCUCUUUAAAAUCGAUCUGAGGCGCAUAUAUUUUACAUACAGCAAUUGUGAGUAAAAGUCUGCAUGUAUAAAAGUGUUUACAUGGGAACUGGGCUGGACUCCUAGCACUAGAAAUGAGACUGAGGUCUCUUUGAUCAUCUGAGUUUCUUAUGACAAUAAAUAGCUUAAAUAACAAAACAAAAAACACAGAAGUGACAUACUUUGACAGUGUCUCGUCAUUUCUAAUUACGUAGUUGUAAUAAAAAGAAUACAGUGUGUUUAAAAGUGCUGGCUAAUAUGUAAUGGCUGGCUUCAUUUCCGCAAAUCCUCAGAAAGAAUACCAUGUAAUACAGCAGUAGACUGAUAUCCCCCUUCUUCUCAUAUAAAAUUUUGAUAGUGUCAGUUUCUCUGUUUUCACGUGUAUAAUCUGUGGGUGAUAUUUUGUCUGUUUUGUUUUUCAAAUGUCUUGGGGAGUUCCUGCCUCUUAUUUCUGCUCCCUCCUUCCAAAAGCUUUCCACCUCUGAGUUUUUAUGGAGCUGCCGAGAACAUAGGAAGAGGGCAGGUUUAUACAAGUAGAGUACAAACUACAUGUGGUACUGUGAGAAAAUAUUUAGUGUAUACCUGGGAAAACAGUUGUUUUAUACAUGUUUAAUAAAAGUAUUCUGUGUAUUGCUGGUGAGAAGUGUAGCUUCCAGACUGCAAAUCUGAUGUGCUUAACCUGGAAUUGCUGGUUUACUACUGAAGUAAAAAAUAGUGACAUGGAAAUGGAAUUGUAUAUUACUUUCCUUAUAGAAGGCAAGUCUUAAAAGACCUUGAAAACAUUGUUGAAGUAGGAAUAGAAAACAAUGAUUUACUUUGCUCAGCACAGAUUUGUUGCGUGUGGCAGUUCACGCUCCUAAGUCACUUUGAUUUUGAGGAUAACAGUCAAACAGGUGGGUCUGUGGUGUUUGUAGGAGCUGACUGUGCCUGUUGCUCUCUUUUGGCAGCAUCUGCUGUGAGUUGUGCACAUAUUUUCCCUGAAUGUCAAAACAAUGUAUCUGAAAUUACUGUACUUGAAAUAUGGAGUACCCAGUGAAAUUGCUACUAACUGACAUAGCCAGUUAGUUUUGGUUCUUGUUCUUCAUGCAGUGCUGAAGUUAUUCUGCAUUCUUCAGAAUAAGAAUAAUCUUCUGCUGAAGUUAUUCUGCAUAUUAUAGGUGCUUAUGCUCUUUACAUAUACCAUAGCACCUCCCAGUGAUAAUGAUGUGGUACAGUGAUUUGGAAAUACUUUUUAAAUAACAGAGCCAAGCUUGGCGUGCACGUCACUUCAUUUAUUAGGUUUGUGUUGUCUCAUCAAAUGCGUUGAAGUGAUGAUCUCAUUUUAUUUUUGUCUGGAAAGCUGAAUGAAGAGAGAUUAAAGGAAAUGAGAGAGAAUAGCCCUGAUAUGCAUUCCCCACCCCCUUCUCUUUAAAUAAGGUGCAGAGAUGUGCUUCAAUCCUCACUACCCAAUCGUCUAAACUGAUUCUGCCUCUGAGGGCGCUGUAGGAGGAAAGGGAAAGGUCUAGAGGGACUUACUGGCACAUGUGGUUUCCUUCUGGCUCAGGCAGACUCAGCAACAGGAGAAGGUCUCACAGUGGAACAGAUCCCAAUGAUUGGUUUAAAAUCUUAGGGGUUAUGAGGGGAGAAUAUUGAAAAACAAUAACAAAAGCAAAAAAGAAAAUAAAAAUCAAUGCUUCGGCAAUAGAGUCAACAGGGAACUCACUGGCUUUGUAGGUCACUUGAUUUACAUCCAAGAAAAUGUCUGCUCAGGCUUUGGCCUCCCAGCACACCUCAGCAGCACUGCCUCUGUCUGCUUGCUGUUCUGAGAAGCUCUUUGAGAGCAAACUGUAGGAGGUCAAGUUUUUUUUCUGAAUUUUUGGGGAGGUUGGCGGGGGGGGGAGGGGGAGAGGAAGCAGGGAGUGGUUUAAUCCCCAUCUUUCUGUUUAUCCACCCUGGUUCAGGAUUUAUAGGAAGGAGACUCUUGUUGGUAGGACUAACCCGUACCUGCUUUCAGGUCUGGGUUUGAAAAAUGUUUGUGAGGGCAGAGGCGGCAGAAGCAGCAUGGGUUCGUCAAACUGAGUAGUUGAGAGUUAGUGACAGCUUGUCACUUGUUAGAGUCACCUUGUUUUUGCAAAUGCUCUUUUGGAUACUGUCUGUAAAGAGGCUGUGUGUGGAAAAUGUGGAUUUUUUUAGUGCAUAAAUAUUUGAGAGCAGUUAUUCCAGGAAUGUUGUGUAUUACAUCUGUUUGAGCCCUGUAUAUGUUACAGAUGUGGAGAAGUGCAGUGAGUCCCAUUCAGGUGAUGGAUUGGCAAUGUCUUGUGGUCUUUCUGAUGGUAUAUGGCAUAGACAGAAGGACUGAGUACAAGGAUUCAGUAAAACUUUAAAGGAAAAAUAUUUUGAAGUCUCCCUGUGUCUAAUUAAGUUUUUAUCUGUCUUUGUAGUUAGCUUCUUGUACUACUUGGUUUAAAUUUGCCUUUCUGCAAAUGAACUUGAUUCCUUGUUAGUCUGCCUUUGGCAACGCAGCAAAUCAUUCACUGUCAUUUUGAUAAUGCCUUAUACCCGUGAAGAAAGGUGUGCUCCUCCUGCCCCUUGUCAAAAGGAGAGCUACAAAAAUAAGACAAAAAAAAAAAAAACCUCAAUUUUUAAAUUUCUCUUGAAAGCUUUUUUUAGUAAGCAUUUACUCUUCUCUAAGUAAGCUUUGGAAUAUUUAUCCGAGCAUCUGAGAAUGACUCUUGAAAACAACAACAGAACCUUCAAUGAUGGCAUUAAAGUGAAGGAGGGAGGCAAUAUAUAUUUUUCCCCUCAUUUCAAUGGAAAACGCAUAUGCUGUCAUCUCUUUCAUAGGUCAUCAAGAACAAGAAAAUUAACAAUUUCCUUUUGCAUGUCAGACAUUUAAAAGUUGGUCUUUGCAGUAUAGAACAUACAAAUUACGAAAGCAUGUGGUUAGUUAGCUAACAUUAGGUCUCUACUUGUAGCCUUCUUCUAGAAAGGCCAACCAUAAAUUUCUCAGAAAUAACCUUCACUGAGAUACGUGCUUCACUGUUGUCUAAGCUUCUGUGAGACCAAUCCUCGCUAAGUAGUGCAGGAGUAUUUGUGUGCACUGUAGGAACAUCCAGUGAUGAAACUGCCUGUUAGAGUUUAUUAUGUUUACUAUAUUACUGCUAUUACUUAUGGAAGGUUUUAUUCUAAAAUAACUAAAUAUGGGAUUUUGUAUUUUAUGGUUAAGAAACUGUUUACCACCUUUUUAGCGUUUAAUACUACAGUAACAAGAAACAGACUUAACUACUUAAACAUAUAACUAUCUUCAUAGCCUACACUGUUAGUUUUAUGUAGUGUCCUGCCAUAACUCUGUCCUGGGGCUUUAACUAGUGAAUAUUGGCUGGUUUUUCUGCUUUCUGUGAUGUAAAGAUGAGACUUCAUCUACUGCACAUGUUUCUAGGAAAAAAAAAAAAAAGACAACUUAUGCUACAAGUCAGUAGGAAUAAACAAGAGGAGCUCCUUUUUUUUUUAUUGCUGUAAUUUAAUUACAAUAGUGAUAAGGACCAGAAAAGAGUGAAGACCAGGUUUUCUUUUACUUACGUUGACUCUCAAAGCCCCUGAGGUACUGAGAUUGGUAGUUUCAUACUUGGAAACAAUAGCUUGCUUUUUAAUGGGGACAAAUGUGAUAGCCUGCAGUACAAGAGUAAACAACUACAUGAAUACAGACUAGAUAGGAAGUGAGCAUCUUUAGUGGUUUGACUUGACCUAUUUGGCUUCUGCUCGCAAUUUUGCAACAAACUUGGAGGUAAGAGGGGACGCAUAGAUGUUACAUUGAGUUGUGUGGCUUCUCAGGCACUUCUGUACUGCCAAGGGUUGUUGGUGGUUUACUGAUUACAAUGUCUAGUUGUAUUAUGCUUCAGAACAUAUGAUUGAAACUGUCCAGAGGAAUUGGUGUAAAUGAUAAGAAAUACAUUGAAUGUGACCUGGGAAGAGAGGCUGACUCCUGCACUGAGUGUUUCUUCAGAGAUGACAGCAAGGGGGCAAGGAAUGUUAAGUGUCUCAAAAUGUGCACAGGAAGGUACUCUGAAGUGGAAGAGUUUAUCACUUUUCUCCCUUUUACAGGGAAUAGAAUGAGAAAUAGUAGGCUUAGAUUGCAGAGAAUAAAAUUGAGAUUAAUGUGGAGUUGGUACAAUUCCUAACAGUAAAGGUAGAAUAAUACCAUAACAAGAUGUCUGGUUAGGUUUUGGAGACUUGACCAUUGGAGAUUGCUAGAAAAAUUCCUGUUGGGAAAAGAACAGGUGUCUGUGAUGCUUCUUGGAUGCUUGGGAGUAGGAGCACUCCUGGGAGCUGGUUCAGUUGCUGGCCUUUUCAGAGUGGACAGUCUGAGAUACGUGUAUGCCAAAUUAGAGGCAAGUAGGUGCAAAACUAGAAAAUUUUAGAGAACCAGGUGCAGCUUUUGAUGUCUGACUAUUGGUUUCUUUCUAUAGCACUGUGAGGCAAUCUAGCAUUGCCAGUAGAAUAGCUUUUAUCAACAAAAUAACUGUUUCUGUUUGAUGCUGGUAAGCCAAAAUAGAAUACUUGUUUAGAAAGAAAAACUUGACUUGCUGUCUGUACCCUCUUCCUCUUACUUCUAAUAUUGCAAAACAACUGAAUGUGGUCUCAAAAUGAAGAAGGGUACUGAUGACCACAAAUCAUCUGAGGUGAAUGAUGCAGUUUUCUAUUUCAUUCUCAACAGUAAAACGAAAAGAUGCUGAAUAAAGAUAUAUGGUAUAUGACAAUGCCAUACCUUUUAUAUGAAGUUUGAAACCUGUUCCCUGUACUACUAAUCUGAGUAGGUCUCCUAACAUAGAAAUAGAACUGCUGGUUAAAACUCUGCUUUGUAUUUUGUUUGUCUUUUGUAGGAAAUAAGAUGACAUCUGCGUGCGUGUGUGUGUGUGUGUGUGUGUGUAUGUAUAUAUAUAUACACACACAGAGUAUGUUGUAGGGAGAUCCUUAAUUUACUGCAGCAAUUAUAGAAAGGGAAACAGCAAAAUUCUGCUGAAAAGGCUGAAACUGACUGUAAAGGUCCCCCUAAAGGGUUACAGCCCAUUGCCACUGGUCUUAUGUGAAUAAACCUCCAAGGUAAAACCAGGAUGGAACUCAUGCUGGCACAGGUGUCACUUCAGUAUUUCACAUUCGGAAUCCAACUGAAUGAUCCCACAUAAAUGUUGAAUGUGUUUGUUCUUCACGUUGUUAAAACACUGCUGUGGCCAAAGAGGACAGAUUUAUCAUUGUGAUGAUG
ensembl:lncRNA